rnacentral:rRNA from 1 species
ACGAACGCUGGCGGCGUGCCUAAUCCAUGCAAGUAGAACGCACAGUUUAUACCGUAGCUUGCUACACCAUAAACUGUGAGUUGCGAACGGGUGAGUAACGCGUAGGUAACCUGCCUGGUAGCGGGGGAUAACUAUUGGAAACGAUAGCUAAUACCGCAUAAUAUUAAUUAUUGCAUGAUAAUUGAUUGAAAGAUGCAAUUGCAUCACUACCAGAUGGACCUGCGUUGUAUUAGCUAGUAGGUGAGGUAACGGCUCACCUAGGCGACGAUACAUAGCCGACCUGAGAGGGUGAUCGGCCACACUGGGACUGAGACACGGCCCAGACUCCUACGGGAGGCAGCAGUAGGGAAUCUUCGGCAAUGGACGAAAGUCUGACCGAGCAACGCCGCGUGAGUGAAGAAGGUUUUCGGAUCGUAAAGCUCUGUUGUAAGAGAAGAACGGGUGUGAGAGUGGAAAGUUCACACUGUGACGGUAUCUUACCAGAAAGGGACGGCUAACUACGUG